UUUUCCGGUUGAUCCCGCCGGACCUGACUGCUAUCGGAUUGAUACUAAGCCAUGCGAGUCAUUGUAGCAAUACAAGGCAGACGGCUCAGUAACGCGUAGUCAAUCUACCCUAUGGACGGGAAUAACCUCGGGAAACUGAGAAUAAUGCCCGAUAGAACAUUAUGCCUGGAAUGGUUUAUGUUUCAAAUGAUUUAUCGCCAUAGGAUGGGACUGCGGCCUAUCAGUUUGUUGGUGAGGUAAUGGCCCACCAAGACUAUUACAGGUACGGGCUCUGAGAGGAGUAGCCCGGAGAUGGGUACUGAGACACGGACCCAGGCCCUAUGGGGCGCAGCAGGCGAGAAAACUUUGCAAUGUGCGAAAGCACGACAAGGUUAAUCCGAGUGGUUUCUGCUAAAGAAACCUUUUGUCAGUCCUAGAAACACUAACGAAUAAGGGGUGGGCAAGUUCUGGUGUCAGCCGCCGCGGUAAAACCAGCACCUCAAGUGGUCAGGAUGAUUAUUGGGCCUAAAGCAUCCGUAGCUCGUUUUGUAAGUUUUCGGUUAAAUCCAUGCGCUUAACGUAUGGGCUGCCGGGAAUACUGCAUAACUAGGAAGUGGGAGAGGUAGACGGUACUCGGGAGGAAGGGGUAAAAUCCUUUGAUCUCUUGAUGACCACCUGUGGCGAAAGCGGUCUACCAGAACACGUUCGACGGUGAGGGAUGAAAGCUGGGGGAGCAAACCGGAUUAGAUACCCGGGUAGUCCCAGCUGUAAACUAUGCAAACUCAGUGAUGCAUUGGCUUAUGGCCCAAUGCAGUGCUGCAGGGAAGCCGUUAAGUUUGCCGCCUGGGAAGUACGUACGCAAGUAUGAAACUUAAAGGAAUUGGCGGGGGAGCAC
rnacentral:rRNA from 1 species